rnacentral:lncRNA from 1 species
AAAAUCUCGUAACUUCUAAGUGAACCAGGCAGUUUCCAAAACCUGCCUUUUAGCUAUUAAGCUAUAAAUAUUUGAAAAAAGUAUUUACAUUGACAAAUAACUAUGAAGUUUUUAGAACUUAUGAAGAUCAUGAUGAAGAAAAAACUAUUUGUAAUAUUAUCAAAUUGCUUAUUCCUUUCUGAAGUCAUUUAUUCAAUAUCAUUUAUUUGCAGAUAAUAGGUACCAGGCAUUGAGAAAUUCAGAAUAAAUAAGAAAAUGGAAUAAACAAAGGGUUAUAAAAAAAUCUAGGAUGGGUUAUUCAUUUUAAAAGAGAAUGGGGCUUAGGUGAAAAAAAGCAAAAAUAUACACAAGGACUUGAACAUUCUAACAUAAUGAGCAAGUCAUACCCUGCCAGAUGCACGAGAGUGGAUGACAGGAUGUGCUGGAAAGGAACAUGGGAAGUACCUAAAAUGAAAAGGACCUGAAAUGCAAUUCUAAAGAUUUCGUCUAAAAGAAAUGGCAAGUUGGCAGAUAAUUUUUAAAUUCAAGUGUAAAUAAUCUGAUAAGUAUUUUAGAAAGCUGACUGGAUGGUAUAAAGAGGGUGCAUUAGAGAAGGAAAAUAUGGGUGGCAGGGAGAUCUAUGAGGGUUUUGUGAUGGGUUGAAUGGUGUCCUCCCAGGAGAUAUGUUGAAGCCCUAUUUUUGGUACCUGUGAAUAUGACUUCAUUUGGAAAUAGGAUCUUUGCAGAUGAAAUCUAGUUAAGAUGGGUUCAUUAAGGUGGGCCCUAAUUCAAUAUGACUGUUUUCCUUAUAAAAAAAGGAAAAGACGGAGAAACGGGGAGAAGAAUGCCACAUAACAAUGAAGGUAGAGAAUGGGGUUACACAGCUACAGACCAGAGAACAUGAAGGACUGUCACCAACACCACUGCUAAGAGAAGGGCACAGAACAGGUUCUCCCGCAGAGCCUUUAGAGGAAGCAAGACCCUGUCAACAGCUUUUCUGAGUUCUAGCCUUCAGAACUGUGAGAGAAUAAAUUUCAGCUUAUGGUACUUUUUAUAUGACAGCCCAAGGAAACUAACACAAGUAUUGGUGGAACACUUCUUCAACAAAUAGCACUUGAAUUAAGGCAGUGGCAGUAAAAAUGGAGAGGAGGAGGUAUGUGGUAGACCAGGGAUAUAUUUGCUAAAGGACAAACGAAGUAAUGAGACUUAGAAACAGAACGAUGGAGCCACAAAGAAUGCCUGAAAUGGUAAUAGGAUACAUGCUGGAAUGUUGAUGGGCCCCAUUUCCACAAGCCUCCAAAUCUGCUUCUAGAUCCCAUUCAAGCAAGGGAGGAUUUGUUAAGAAGAAAGGCCCUUUGAGAGCACCAGUCCCUCCACCAGCCAGUCUAGUCCUAAGAGCUCUGAAGGCCAACCUUGGAGGUGGUUCAGGAGGGAAAAUGCAGGACCCAGGAUUUCAGUUGCCAAGCCAGAGAGCAGGGGACCCAGGAAAGAAUAUUGGCAUUCAUUUGAUUUUUCCAUCUUCUGAUAUAACCUUCAAAUGUUAAUAGUGUGUCGAAGAAUUUAUUGGAAAUGAGAAACAAGAAAACAGUGAGUCUAACCUAGUCAUUCUAGAAUUGGGAGGUAAUAGAAAAGAGAGAAAUGGGAAAGUUGCUCAAAUGCAAGUCCAGUGAAUCAGAGAGAAAAGGCUCAAAGCAGCAGAACAAAGCUUCAAUAAAGAGAUAUUGUGACUUGGAGAGAUGGCCUUUUGUCCUUUGUUCUAUUACCAGUCAGAGGAUGGGGAGCACACCCGAGCCUGAGACAACAGCUCUGCUAAGUGCCCUUGAGAGGGCACGGUGGGGUCAGCACCAAAGUCAGACCACUAAAGAGAAAAAGAGAGAAAGACAGGAUUGCAGAGGAGAAAUGAGAAUGGCAGAAAAAAUAAUUUUUUAAGCCAAAAGGAAUCAGAGAAGAGCAGAAGUGCCUCUAGGAUAAAGCGUAGCAGGCAGUUAGGGAAAAAGGGCUGUUAACUACCUUGAAGCUCUGACUACAUUAGAAAGCCUCGCAAGACAGUCGUUGCUUGCACGGGCAGGUAGAGAACUUUUCCUGUCCAUUGUUCUUCUGAAUUAUAAAUCACUGACCUCUUUAUGAUUUCUAAAGGGAAAAUGACUUCAAGCUUCUUAGAGUUCCCCUAAGGCAUUCUCUAUAUUCAAUAUAAUAUGGGAAGCCCUGGGUUUGUCUUUGUAUGUUUCAUCUGCAGUGACCUGAAAUCUUCAUAACCCUCUUCCUUUCUCCACUUAUCAACUAAGGGGUGGUUGGCAAUAAGGAUGGGUGGGAGAGAAAAAAAAACAGAAUUUGAGGAGGAGAGCAUUUAAACCAUCAGACUGUGUGUUCUGUGACAUCAAAGACUGGCAACAUUCUAAAGGUAAAUGUAACUAUGCAUCCCUUUGGGAUUUUCAGAUAUCUUGUACAAUCUAUUUUAUUCCUCUAAACAUGGAGACUAUAAAGCUGUGUGGAAAUCAAUAGUUUAAUUCAUUCAUUCAACAAACAGGUGGUGAGUGCUCAUCAUAACAACCACAUCAUAAUAGCUAACAUGUUGAAUGAUUAUCACACAUCAACUACUAUGCUAAGUGCUUUGCAUGGUUUAUGUCAUUUAAGUAUCACAAAUAAUACUAUGAGAUAGGUGCUCUUGUUAUGUCCAUUUGACAGAUGAAGAAACUGAAGCCCAAGUCCCAGCCCUAAGAUGAGGCAGAGCUAUGUUAGAAUUCAGGAAAAGCAGCUGUGAAGUCAUAAUUAUGUUCACUUCCCACUGGCAACUGGCAAGCCCUUUAUUUUUGUGCAUUCGGAACUCACCAAGAAUAAAUAAAGUCCAUUCCCUCCUUGAGGGGCUAUUCUGCCAUUCCAUCUAGGAUUUAAAAGUUUGCCAAUUCCUAAAACAUCUAUUGUUAUCAAUAGUCUUGUGUCUUUCACAAAGCGGACUUUACAAAAUAAGUUAACAGGCCAUGAGAGGAACAGUCACACAUACCAAGAAAGGUACAUACGGAGAUAAUUCCAAUCAAAGUGAGCACAGCCUACGCAUAAACAGGAUUUUCCAAGAAAAAAGCAUUAAAGUGCCAUAGAAUAUUAAAGAGCAAUUAAAAGAAUGAAGAUCUCUUCAUAUGCUGGAUAGGCGGAGUGACCCAGCAAUCAUAUGGACACCAUCCAUUCCAGUGACACUCAAACUUCAGCGUGCAUCAGAAUCCCUGCAAGGCUUGCUAAGACACAGACUGCUGCGCCUACCUCAGAGUUCCUGAUUCAUCAAGCUUGAAGUAAGGCCUGAGAUUUUUGCAUUACUAACAAGUCUUCAGGUGAUACCAAUGCUGCUGAUCUGGAGACUGCCUUUGAGAGCCACUAUUCUAUCUCUUUCCCAAUCAACUGUCCUUUCUCACCUCCCUUUUAAAUCUCCAGCACCUGCUCCCUCAUGUUUACUCUCAAUGCACAAUCUUUUUUUCUCCUUCACUGACAGAAGUGAAACAAUUAAAAGAGAAUUUCCCCAGUCUCUCACUACUGCACCUGCUCACCCUCCCACAAGCACGUGUACUCACUGUGCUUUUCUUGCUGUUUUGAAAGGUGAAUUGUCUGUGGUCUUUCUAGAGCCAAUCUCUUCACAUGUGCACCAGAUUCCAAGACCUGCGGCCCACUCAAGGGCAUCCUGCAUGUCUUCUCCCAUCUCUUACCUUGUCAACUCUUUCCACUUUUUGAGUCAUCCUCCUCAGCACAAAAGAUUGUUACUCACUUAUCUUAAAAAGUAAAAGACUAAACCAACAAAAACAAGAAAAAACAGAAAUAAAACCUUUUACUGGACCCUCUCUCCCUACCAGGUAUGACUCCAUUUCUCUUUGCCUUUGCAGAAAAACAUUUAGAAAGGGGGUCUGUAUUAAUUCUAUCCAGUUCCUCUCCUCUCAUUCUCUCACAGACCCACUGAAAUCAGGUCUUAACUCUCAACAAAAUUGCUCUUACUGAGGUCUCAGAUAAACUUCAGGUUGCUAAAUCUCAUGGCCCACAUUUGGUCCUCUCACAUUUUACCCCCCUUGACAGAGAUGGCACCACUCCUUGAUACUUCUAUUUUUUUGGCUUGUAAGGCUUCCUAAUUCACUGGUUGCUAGUCUCAGAACUUUGCGAAUGACUUAUCUUUUCUUAUACCUCUUAGUCCUGGACUGACUUGCCCCAGAUUGUAGCUUCUUUUUUUAUCCACUCUCCUUCCUUUGGGGAUCUCAUCCAGUCUCCCUCUGUAUGCCCUUUGUUGCCAAAUUUACAUCUCCAGCCCUGAAUGCUCCUUUGCCUCAGACUCCAAAACUAUAUUCAAAGUCUCUCAUUUAGAUCAUUCAAACUUUUCAAGAGUGACUCCUGAUCUUCUCCCAAAUAUCUGAGCUGCUCAAAGCUUUCCAUCUCAGUAGAUGAAAAAUUCACCCCUCUAGUGCUUAGGUCAAAAAUCUUUGAGUCACCCUUGUUUCCUCUCUUUAUUACUCCCACUGUACAUCCGAUUCACCAGGAAGUCUUCCUGUGUUUACCCUAAACAUAAUUCAGAGACCAAUUACUCCUCACCACCUCCAUGGCUAUCACUUUCAUCAGACUUGCUAGAUUUUAGCAAUCGUCUUAUAACUGUUUUCCCAUUCCCACCCUUGCCUCCUUCCAUUCUAUUGCCCACAAAGAAGUAUAAGUGAUCCUUUUGAAACAUAAGUCAGAUCAUGGCAUUUCUUUCCCAAAAAGAAAUGCAAGUGUCUAAAUUCUUCGCCUACCUCAGAGUAAAAGUCCAAGUUCUUAUAUGGCCUUUAAAGACCUCUGUGUACUCUCCUCCUCCCUCCGUUAGCUCUCUGAUCUUCCCUUCUUCUUUUCUUCCUCAUCCUACUCUGCUCCAGCCACGCAGUCUUUCUGGCUAUUUCUUGAACAUAGUAAACAUGAUCCCUCCUCUGAGCUUUGAGUUGUUUCCUUUGCCUGGGAAAUUCCAUCUGGAGACUUCCGGGCUUGCUCACCUAUAUAGGCAAGUCUGUACAUGAGACCUGCUCUGACCACUCAAUUUAAAAUGGCAGCAAAAUCCUUCCUGGCACCCCACCUUUAAAAUGGCAACAAAAGCCUUCCUGGCACCUUUCCUUUCUAGCUUUGGACCUAUUACAUAAUCUAUGUAUCUUUUGUGUUAUCAUCUGCCUUCCCCGCUAGUAUGUAAACUCCACAAAGGUUGAGAUUUUUGUUUGGUUCACUGAUGUAUCCCAAGAACAUAAUUCAGUAUCUAACUUGCAGUGGAAACUCACCAAGUAUUUAUCAAAUUAUUUGAUAAAUGAAUGUGAUGAUAAAUGAAUGUGACUGUAAAAUGAUACUUUAUAGUCACUGGAGAAAUCAGUCUCUGACAUCCCCAGGAACAAAAUCAACAUUCUUUGGAAUAGUCAUUGAUAAAGGGUUCAUAACUUUUUGUGCCAUGGACUUCUUUGGCAGUCUGUCGAAGCCUAUGAACCCCUUCACAGAUUAGUAUUUUUAAAUGUACAAAAUAAAAUCGAUAAACUACAAAUGUAGUAAAUUAUUUUAUCAGAACAUUUUUAAAAUUAUAAAACAAAUUUGUAGCUAAUAGUAAUACACAUACUUUGUUAUCCAUUAAUUGACAACAUCUGGUAGUGGUUCUAAUAACGACCAUAAUUUUGAAGUACUGAUGUCUAUGAAUGAUAUUUCAAGAUGUCUGUAAUAACUCUAAUGUGAUACGAAUGUAUCUGUAAUUUCCAUUGUGAACAAAGUCACUGGUACUGCUAAUAGCACCAUGGUUUCUUGCCUAUAUUCAUAAAUGAAGGAAAUGUUAAAUUUUAGCUAGUUAAAAAAAAAAAAUGAAAAUGAGGUUGUAUUUUCUACAGAUACUUAAAUGAAUGCUUUGGAAACACUUGUAAGGAGUAGAAAUAAAAGCAGAAAGACUUUCCCCUUUCUUACUCCCCCAAAAGGUGCUACUGAAUUGUUGCAGAUAAGGAAAUUGUAAGAUAAUUGAAAAAAAUGAUAAAAAUCUGGAAGAAUUCUGUACCAAGACUGUUUUUGCUUUUGCAAGUGUCUAAAUUCUUGUUCUACUUUAAUAGAAUCAAAUCUGGAAAUUAUCAGAGUGAUGAUGUACGUGGUUCAUAUAAAGCAGACAAUGUGGAACUCCAAGUAUCUGAACAAUCAGAUCAAAAUACCCAGACUACAUAUCAAGAAAGCAGGCUGAGUGUGAUGGUUCAUGCCUGUUAUCCCAGCACUUUGGGAGGCUGAGGCAGGAGGAUUGCUUAG